AGUGAAACCUGAGAAACAAUACAGCAUAAGAAUCAUAUGAUGCUCAAACUUUGAAGCAUUGUCAUUAGGUAUUUAAACCCACAAAUAACACAUCCAUAAAAACAACGCAAAAGACAUUCCCACAAAAAUCUUCUAUCUAUCAAGAAGCUAGAAGAUGAUUAUAUUCACAAACAUUACUAACCUACAACCCUAACCCUAAAACCCAACUACAUUUCCAGAAACAGAGACCCCAAUAACCUACUUUGACCUACUGGACAGAACUAAAUCUGAAAUGGAACAUAUUAGUCCGGCAACGAUCGUCAUUUUGUUUUGAAUCUAAGAGUCAUCAUCACCACCGACGUUCUAGGAGGAGGCACCGGUCUUCUUUGGGAGCAGAAGAUUGUGAAUGUUGGGCAUCACACCACCAUUUGCAAUUGUCACAUCCCCAAGAAGCUUGCUGAGCUCCUCGUCAUUCCGCACAGCGAGCUGAAUGUGGUGCGGCACAAUGCGAGUUUUCUUGUUGUCUCUUGCUGCAUUGCCAGCCAAUUCCAGAACCUGUAAAAUCAACCAAAUUGAAACAACAUUAGAAUCAAAACCCGAAUUUGAAAGUUGAAAAUCAAUUCAGUUGCAGAAUCAUAACUUCACCAAAGAAAAUAUCCCAGUUUCAAAAGUCGCACAAACCCUAACUACAAUAACAUCUAAAUUGCGAUAAAAUUUAAAUAUGCAGAGCAGGGUGGAUGAUUAUUGCACACCACCUAAAAUUGCAAUAAAAUUAAAUAGCAGGCAAAUUUAAAUAUGCAGGAUAUGAUGUGCGAUUAUAGCGCUCCACUUAAAAUUUGCAGUAAAAUUAGAUCUGCAGUCCAAGAUAGGCGAUGAUACCGCACCAUCUUGGAUUGCAUAAAUAAACACUGGGUUAGUAGUCAAGAGUUACACCAAAUAAGAAAUCAAAGAUAUAAGUUAUUGUUAGGUUGAGAACUAGAAGUAAACAUGGUGAAAACAGUUCUUCGCGAGGGUAUAUCCAACAAUUGAGGCAGAGGAGGAAGAAGAAUAAUAAAAACCUUAGAGGAAACAUUUUUUUUUCUUUCGAUGAAGGGAAAUGAGAAAUGAUUAUAGAGUCGUGCUGAUAAUGUAUUAUAAAUAGGCAAAAGUUAGAGAGAUAACCUUUGCUAGGGACAUGAGCAAGGUUGUUGCAAUAUAUUACAGUAACACAAAAUAAUUGCAGAUAGGAGAGAAAUAGGAGGAUACUGAAAAUAUUUGAACUUUUCUUUCUUUCUCACUCUAUAUAUUUUUGAACACUCGUAAUGCUCUAUUUAUUGAGCAAAUACUUUGAAAGCAAACAAAUUAUACUAUUAAGCUUGUGAAAAAUUUACUGUAUGCAUAUGGGCAUACAUACCCUCUAUUUACAACAUUAUAAUGUUUUUCAAAUAAAAAGUAAAAAAUAAUGUGUGGACAUGAAUUCCGUCCAAUUAGCUUAAAAUGUAUUUUCUUUCAUAUCGUAAAUUAAUUUAAUUUAUUAUCACCCUUAGCCUAAAAAGUAGAAAGAAAAGUCGUGUGGAAACCCAAUUUUACAAAUUACAUCUGAACACAAACCCAGCAGCCGUAGGCCGCUGCACACACAACCACUGCUCACUCCUCCUUAGUUGUAAUCAACAAUUCUAGGGGUGGAAAAAAUUCCCAAAAUUCCCAAACCAAACCAAAAAAAUACCGAUCCCAAACCAAAAAUGUCCCAAACCGAUUUUCCCAAAAUUUCAGUAUUCCCAUACCGAAAAAAUACCGAAAUUUCGGUAUGGGAAUCGGGAUUGCCUUUCCAAUAUUUCGGUAUUCCCAUACCGAACCGAAAAUAUAUAUUUUUAAUUAUUUUAUAUAUAUAUAUAGAUAAUAAUAUAUAUUGUUUUUUUUAAUUAUAGUUAGAGUUAAUUUGAACCGUUGGAUUGCUUCAAAUUAAUCCAUGCCAUCCAUUCCUUGUUAGGUUUCUCCCAGUCUAGUUUGAUUUCUGAUUUCUCACUCAGCCUUCCAACACCGACAGCCUUCCUUCGAAUCGUCUCUGACUCUCCAGCCGCCCAGCCUUCCUUCACGAAUCACCACCCAGCCACCGCCACGCCAAAGCAUCAAAGACUGAACUCUCCAGCCUUCCUUCACGAAUCGUCUCCGACUCUUGCGAUCUCUCUCUCACGGACAGAACUCUCGAUCUAGCACCGAGUCCGAGUCUCACUCUCACCCCAAAAUAGGUAACUAAUUUAGUGUUUUGAAAUCUAAUUUCUGACACUCAUCCAAAGUAGGGAUUGUUGAAGGGCUCGAGGCCGGUUAUAGACCCGCUGAUGGCCUAAUUUAUUCAUGCCGUUGGCAAUUUUUUUUGUUUGUGUGUUAAUAACUUAUACAUUUCUUCCAUCUUCAUCUGUUAGUUAGUAGUCAUUCAAUAAUUAAAAUGAUGUUUGAUUGAGUUUGUCGUAUUCUUUUUUAAAAAUCGUUUCUUCUUAUACCCUAAUAAUUUUCUAGGGUUUUAGUCUGCGUGUUCCGAAGGCCAGUUCUCCAUCUAGGGUUUUGCCUGCGCUUUAAUUCCACCAUCUGAAGAGUAAGGAGGGAUUCGGAAUUUCAUUCGACUGCUCAGGAAUCCCAAUUCUUCAUCGUCAAGGUUUGUUUCGCUUUAAUCUUUGUUAUUGUUAUUCAUCUUUCAAAUUGCUCAACUUUAACAACCUAGUUGCUGCUUAGAUUUUUAGGGUUUUAAUUCAAUUCAAUUCAAUUGUUGUAAGCGACGGGUAAAGAUUUAAGCUCUUGGAACUUACCCAAGAAUUAAUUUCCCUAAUUGUUCGACAUUGUGGUUUAUCAAAUUUGUUUGAGAUGGUUAUGAAUAUUUGUUGUAUCUGUAAUUCCACAGCUUAAAAAAUUCAGCUUUAGUGCUACCUUCGCAUUUAACUUGUGGUGGUUGCUUUGAAUUUUUCAGCAUGUCGUCUUUAAGGAAUGCCGUUAGCCGACGGGCUCACAAGGAGCGAGCUCAACCGUGAGUGACCACAUUCCUUUUGCUGUUGGACUUUCGGAUGAUGUUUUUUUGCAUCAGAUGAUGGGAUUAAUGUUUUUGUGUUUUGGGUCCAAAUAUUUGAUAGGGAAUCGAGGAAAAAAUUUGGGCUUCUUGAAAAGCAUAAGGACUAUGUUGAGCGUGCGAAAGCAUAUCACAAAAAGGAGGAGACUUUACGGGUAGUUUUAUGAUGGCUUUGUUGUUUUUCUCCUUGGAUUUCGUCAUCUAUUAAUAAUCUGGUAAUUUAACUUCCUGAUAUGGUAUACAUCUUAGGCUAUGUCUCGUCUGUCUUUUCACUCAACAGAUACUGAAGCAGAAAGCCUUCUACAGAAACCCAGAUGAGUUCAACUUCAAGAUGAUCAAGACACGAACUGUUAAUGGAGUCCAUAAAUUAGAGUAACAUAAAACUCUCGUUUGCUCUUCUAUAUCAUGUUUCUUUUUCACACUUGCUACUCACGUGAUAUGGAUUUUUACUACAGGAGUCAGGCAAACAAGUACACUCCAGAAGAGCUCAUGCUUAUGAAGACCCAAGAUAUUGGAUACAUAUUUCAGAAAGUGCAGAGUGAGAAAAAGGUUAUAAAUAUAUAUCAUGAAGCUAUGGUCUACCGGUUGGUUUUAUGAAUUUAACAUGUUGGUUCUUAUUAUGGUGUUAAUUAAUGCAGAAAAUUGAAAAGUUAACUGCGACACUGCACUCUCUUGAUAAUCGGCCUUCAAGUAGACACGUUUACUUUGCCGAAGACAGGUUUGAGCUUCCUUCACAUCUUCUAUCCAUGGAGAAUCAUAAUUCUGAAUUAAUGGAUUUUUUUAAUUUGUAUUUUUCGUUGCUGCUGUUAUUUGUAAUCAGACUGGAUAUGGUGAAAGGCUAUUUUCACCAUUUUUCGGUUCUUUGUUGUCCCUUAUUAUCCACAGAUGUCUGUUUACAUUGUUCUAAUUGAUUUUGUUAUGUAUAUUUUUCAUGUUCAUUGAAUUGGUUUUUUCAUUAGUAGGCAUAAGUAUCUAGAGUGAUUUUAACCCUUUUUUCCAAGCAAAUACACAACAUAAAACACACACAAACACAAACACAUAUCUACUGUACAUGAACCCGAAGUUUCACAUCCACCCUUACAGACACUGAAAAGGAAUACUGUAACAAAUGGGAAGACGCAUACAUAAAACUUGAUCAAUAAAUGAAAGGUGUGUUUCUCCUGAUCCUAUUUUGGACUCGUAUGAAAUGUUUUUCAUCCUGUUCACUUGAGUAUAUUUACAAAAACUAUUAAGGCCCUGAGAAAGGGGAUAUAGAAAUAUAGUGAUACAAGGACUAUAAGCGUGCUAUUAUAAAUCUGCGAACUGCUUUCUUUCUGGCCCAUAUGGUUAUAAUAGAGUAGAUCCUCAUGGCUUCAAUUGGGGACACUAGGCUAAUUUCUUAGUGUUAUUAAUUUUUUCCUGGGAAGACAUUAUUCUUCAAUUCUUUCACAUGGGGGUAAGACCUAUAAUGUUAUAGAAUUCACUUGAGACCACUCCGGGUGAAAGAGUUCAGAGGGAAAGUAGUUUCUUAAUUUCACAUCAUUUAUGUUCCCAUUUGCCAAAUAUGUUUUAUCUUGUUUUGCACAUUUUAAAAAAUAUAUUGUUAAUUAUUUUUAUUCCAGAGAGGAGGCUAGAGAAAUUCAAUCAUGUUCAAGAAGUGGAAAAAUGCCGGUUUCUGAGGACAUUCCUGAUCAUAUAAAAAGGUAGAAACAAAAUUUUCAGUGAUAGAGGACAGAUUGAGGAGUUAGGUUUAUUCUGGAAGUUUUGGUCUUUUGAUUUUCAUCAAUUUUGCAUCAAUUAUGCAUUUCUAUGCAUUGAUUAUGGUGAUAAGAUCUUGGCAUUAUUGCUAUCUAAGAAUAAUUGUGCAGUGAUCCCUUUGCACUUUGCGUGGUUGCAUUCUCAAAGCAAUAAGAUUACUUUGUGAUACCAGGCCAUCAAUCAUGAAGUGAAUAGGACUAGAAUGUUUCGUAAUAGAGAAAAGGUUCUAAGCAAACCUAGUCUCUUAAUGUUUAGUCUAAAAGCUGCAAUUUGGCUUUUAUACAGUUAUGUGAUUGUAAUUUGUGAUUAUGCCAACUGACCUACAAGAGCAUAAACAAAUCUUAAUGGUUACAAGUAUAUGGCAAAAAAAAUAAAAAAUUGUCUCGCAAAAGUUGUUCUGUGUAUUAAGUUAUUAACCGGUUUGAUAAACAGCUCUUUGCUGCUAUGCCUACUAAAGCCCAACUUUGCAUGGGAUAAAGAGCUCUUUGGCAAAAUUGAAAUUGAAAUAAAAACAAUAAAUUAGAAGUUGGUCUGCGGCCCAACUAUUAGGUGCUAGUUGGAAUUGUAUUUCGGUUGAGAAUUUCUUUUAUGCCGUUUUUUUGUCCCUGAAUCCUAGGUAGCUCACUCAUGUUAACAAAUUCCUGUUAUUCUUAUGCUACCUUUCAAUUUGUGGAAUAAUUCUUGCAUCUCUGCCUUCCUGUUUCAUUGUCAGCAAGGAUUCUUGAAGCGCGAUAUCAUUAUUUUGUUUUAAGUCUUAAAUUGUUGUCUUCAAUGUGCAGGAAAACAGCUGGUUCCUACAGAGAGCUUGAAGCAAGGAGUAACAGAGUCAAUGAGUUGGAGAAAAUCUAUAUGGAUAUGGCAAUGCAGAAGGAAUUAAAGGUAUUGACAUCUAAAUUUCUUUGCUCAGUUCUGGGAGUUUGGUUGUCUGUGGAUAGUUUUGAAUACGUUUCCGUCUAAAUUACAGAAAAAGGGUAAAAAACGCAAACUAUGUGAAGAUGAGAUUGUCUCCCCAACAUCCAACCCUGUAUUCAAGUGGCGGGCAGAGCGGAAGCGGUAAAAAGGUGUGUGUUGAUCCAUUAUUAGCUUUUCGGUGCAAUGGAAAUCACGCACUUAACUCGGUGUGUUUUUGCAGGAAUGAGCCUGCUAGUGACAUCUAGGCCCUGGAAAAGAAGAAGUACGGACCUUAUGUACCGGAAAUUUUGUCAUCGUUAUUAUGUCAUCGUUAUGAAUUUUUAAAGUUGCGAAGUCUGUUGGAGUAUGAUAUUUAAACUGAAACUUUCUACCGAGUAGUGACUACUUGAUCUCUGACCAAACAGUUGUUGCAAAAUCGCCCUUCAAUUGAGUUACAUAGGUUCGGAAACAGGACAAUCCGACUCGAAAACGAUAUGGUCAAACAUGAAUCGGACAUGAACCAUUAAAAUGAGUUGUCACCAUGGCAGCAGUGUCGAGUGCUUCAUUGACAUGAACACCUCAACGGUGUGGAUUGGCAACCGCGUGAGGGUCAAGACUCCACAGUACGUACUCACAAAACACGAAUUGCCAUCCCUGUCCAUAGCCAUAACUAAAAAUACAUUUUAACGUUUUCACUAUCAUGUAAAGUGCAAAAACAUUCAUCUGAAUAGAUCAAAUUCAACGGUCAAAUGUGUCGAUAAGCGCCUGUAAAUACUCAAGAAAAAUAGCACAAAUGAAAGAGUGAAACCUGAGAAAACAAUACAGCAUAAGAAUCAUAUGAUGCUCAAACUUUGAAGCAUUGUCAUUAGGUAUUUAAACCCACAAAUAACACAUCCAAAAAACAACGCAAAAGACAUUCCCACAAAAAUCUUCUAUCUAUCAAGAAGCUAGAAGAUGAUUAUAUUCACAAACAUUACUAACCUACAACCCUAACCCUAAAACCCAACUACAUUUCCAGAAACAAAGACCCCAAUAACCUACUUUGACCUACUGGACAGAACUAAAUCUGAAAUGGAACAUAUUAGUCCGGCAACGAUCGACAUUUUGUUUUGAAUCUAAGAGUCAUCAUCACCACCGACGUUCUUGGAGGAGGCACCGGUCUUCUUUGGGAGCAGAAGGUUGUGAAUGUUGGGCAUCACACCACCAUUUGCAAUUGUCACAUCCCCAAGAAGCUUGCUGAGCUCCUCGUCAUUCCGCACAGCGAGCUGAAUGUGGCGCGGCACAAUGCGAGUCUUCUUGUUGUCUCUUGCUGCAUUGCCAGCCAAUUCCAGAACCU
rnacentral:lncRNA from 1 species